AGCGGUUGAGAAGGCAGCCUGGGAGCGGGCAGGAAGCUUGCUCACCCGCUGGCGACCGACUGCCUUAUUUGCUGUCAUAGCGGGGAGGGUGAAUGAGAGAGUGAAAGGAUGGAGAUUCUCCUCUUCGCGAAUACUAAACCAAUUCAAGGUCCCCACCCGACACUGGGUGGCAGCGCUGGGAUUGGGCACCAAGGCGCCGAGGCCAGCCUCCGCUUCCAGCCGAGGGCGGUGACUAGGGGAUCCCUCCUCUGGCUUCUAACCAGACAACCCUCCUGAGUCCUGGGGCUGCUUCUGCUUCUGACAGAGCACCUGGAAGAAAUUCUCACCUGAAAACCCCACCUCAGACAUCUCGAGUGUCCGCCCGGCAGGCUAACCGCCCUUCUUUCCUGCUGAGGUGGAGCUCUGGACUCCCACCCUGGCAGGGCCACACGAUCCUUCCUUCCCCUCCUCAGCCGACCGCACCAAAGAAACCAGAACCCAGGCCGAAGUAUCAGAAACGUGUAUUCUUUUUCUUUUAAUAGUAAACCUCUUUACAACAAAUAUAGUGAAAGAGUUUUCAAACAAAA